rnacentral:rRNA from 1 species
AGAGCGAACGCUGGCGGCAGGCCUAAUACAUGCAAGUCGAACGAACCCUUCGGGGUUAGUGGCGGACGGGUGAGUAACACGUGGGAACGUGCCCUUUGGUUCGGAACAACUCAGGGAAACUUGAGCUAAUACCGGAUAAGCCCUUCGGGGGAAAGAUUAUCGCCAUUGGAGCGGCCCGCGUCUGAUUAGCUAGUUGGUGAGGUAAAGGCUCACCAAGGCUUCGAUCAGUAGCUGGUCUGAGAGGAUGAUCAGCCACACUGGGACUGAGACACGGCCCAGACUCCUACGGGAGGCAGCAGUAGGGAAUCUUGCGCAAUGGGCGAAAGCCUGACGCAGCCAUGCCGCGUGAAUGAUGAAGGUCUUAGGAUUGUAAAAUUCUUUCAGCGGGGACGAUAAUGACGGUACCCGCAGAAGAAGCCCCGGCUAACUUCGCGCCAGCAGCCGC